GAUGAAGAACGCAUCGAAAUGCGAUAAGUAGUGUGAAUUGCAGAACUCAGUGAAUCAUCGAAUCUUUGAACGCACAUUGCGCCCCUCGGUAUUCCGUGGGGCAUGCCUGUUCGAGCGUCAUUUACCCCUCAAGCACUGCUUGGUGUUGGGCGUCUGUCCCGCUUCGCGCGCGGACUCGCCCCAAAGGUAUUGGCAGCGGUCGUGCCAGCUUCUCGCGCAGCACAUUGCGCUUCUCGAGGCGGUCGAUCGGCGUCCACGAAGCUCACCUCCACCGUUUGACCUCGGAUCAGGUAGGGAUACCCGCUGAACUUAAGCAUAUCAAUAAGCGGAGGA
rnacentral:misc_RNA from 1 species